UGUAAAGUAAGCAGAUGCAAUUUAACCAAAUUGGAAGCAAUACAAGCUAGACACCAUAUACAACAUGCAACCACAUUUGACAGCGCGAAGUUAAAGCAAGCACCCGGGAUGGUUGUGUGUGGCAAUUGAGAUCAUCAACUACAGAGCUACGUUUACUGUCUCCAACUGCUUCAUCCUUUAGAGCGCUGAAACGCUUAGUGCUUAUCUUCGAAUUACACUGGAGCGACUUCUGUCUUUUCUUUUCAGCAUUCAUCAACACUGCGUCAGAGUCUGAAAUACCCAUGCAUAAAAAAACAAUAGUGUGAGUAUGGGUGAAGUGUGUGCACAAUUAGUACAGUGUAAAGGUAGCAGAUAGCAGGUCGGUGAGAAAUAAAUGACGGGAGACAUAUGAUAGCUCUACAACAUGCAUGGCACACUAAAUUACUAUAGGAUUCUAUGAAAAUAAUAUUCGACUGAAAACAAAUAGGUCAGUCCAUUUUUUCUGCAUCGUCCGAUGUACAAAGAACGGGCAAAUCGCCUUCAUCUACCUCCAGCCAGUCAGUGUUGAUGAUCUUCCUCGAGACGGCAGCGACCACCGGCCCAGUCCCCUGCCUACGCCCUCCCCUCGACCUCACUGCACCGCCGUGCUUGGCACCGCCCCCCGGUAAUCCAUUCAAGCCCCGCCGACCUCCAGAUCGGGCGCAAGCAGCUCCUGCGCCCCACACCCCUAUGAUAGACAUCGAUGCGCCGCUUCCCCGGCGAACAGGCGGACUAGGUGCUCCGCGCGCCUAAGCGGGUGCUGCUUCUUUUAAUUGCAGUUCGACUGACCCUGAAUUGAAAUCCAGGAGGGCUACUGACCUCUAGAAAAGGUGAAAUAGUAAAGGGAGGAAACCUUAUGCAUUUAGUAUCACGAAGAAGAUGCGGUAAAAAGCUCUCAACUAGUUUCUUUCGUGGGAUGAAUACGGUGUGAGCAGAGACGUAAGGUUUGCACGAAUAUGGGAAGAUGAGUACCUCUGUCUGCUGGCAGUGUUGUGUCCUCCUUCUGUUUUUCCAACGAUCUUCUUGUGGUUCACCGGAAACGAGAAGUUGUGGAGGACGGUGCAGCCUUGGACGAACCCGUGGCCAAGUUGUUGAGUGUGGUGUGGUGGCCAUCUGUCGGCGGCGGGGAAGCAGAUCCGAGGCGGUGAACGAUGGCAUAGCGGGAACAGCUCCGGUGCGGUAGACGGUUGCGACAGUGGAGCGGCAGUAGUGAGGCGCAGGACAGCGUGGUCAGAGUGGUUCUGGUAUGGCGCACGUCGGCGUCGGUGUCGUGGAGGCAGCUCUACCUCGGCUUCAGCUGCUAAGUCCUUGAGGGCGUUGCGGUUGCGGUUGCGUUGGACGACGACGUCGGGGUACCGGCUCCGGCGUGACGGAGUUGGGUGGCGGUGGAUUGGGUGCUAUGGGGUGGAGGACGGAGGAGGCUGGAGUUUCGCGGCUGGUGGAGAGGGCGUUUUGGCACCCACGGAGUAUGAAUGGGCAAACGGAGGGAGGCGGGGAACUAAGGGGGAACAAUGUUUUGGUUUGGGACGCGCUUGUUUGAAAUUUGGGGAAAGUUACAAACUUUGUCCCCAUCUAAAAUUUCGGACAUAUUGCGGGUUGGGGGUAGGACAGUAAUCUCAGGUGUCCCAAAUGUGGGCGGGAUAGAUUUCGGCCGAGCGCAUGGGCGUUUAGGCGCCCAUGGCAUAUGAAUGCUUCUCGAAGGCGGUUGAGACUGGCGUCUUGGAAGUUACAAACCUACCCCGGUGGACAUCGGGUCGAUAGGCUACACGGGCCAGAGUCAAGACAGUAAUUUCCUACCACCAAACAAUAGUCUCGCGCGGUUUUGGGUGACCAGAGGCCUAUUUGGCGCUUCGUUCAAUAUUUGGGAGCAGAAGCAUUAAUGUUUUUGGUUCUCUUGAAUUGAACAUUCAGGAUUUGUCAAACUUCACAAAUCUUUACUCUUGAAAAUCCUAAAGCUACGAUUAUUUUGGAAUGGAGGUGGUACAUUUGAAUAUACAUUGUACAUGAGUAUAUAUUAAAAAAUAUGCAACUUACCUCAGUUCAUGCAUGGUUCCAUAUAUAAUCUCCUUGGUUGCAAAAAAAUUUAGACAUGCGUAUGAAUAUAUAUAUAGCAUGUUCAAACGCACAACAAAGAUUGAUGCCCCCUUUUACAUCUGAUUUACAAAUGCCAUUAUCUCGGGUUCAAAUAGAUGAAUGCACUUCCUAUGAAUUCGAAUCUUCGAAACCCCCUUUAUGUUGAAUUCGACAUGUAUUCUAUUUUGUAGCUAGCAAUUUGGAAUGUAUCCAUGCAAGUGACAAAUGUAUAAAGUGCUUCACACUAACAACAUGGAGUGCACUAAUUAAUGUUUAUAUAUGAAUUGCAAAAGCAUCCAUUGCCUGUAUUUCAAACCGCUCUCACUCUAUGGAUCGAUAAUAUGAAAUAAACACAUGCACAUGCUAGAAUUCAAUAGAGUAUGGGUGUCUGAUAGACCGAUUUUCGUCCAUACGCAAUUAGCAAAUUCAUGAUCUCAUCCAAAAAUAAUAAUGCCAUUUAUAUUUUAAUUUAAUGUGUAGAACCGCCUUUUACACGUAGAUGCACUAUGCCUCGGCCCAUUCUCACAAACGCGCUAUAUAUCUCUCUAUCUACCGCAUAAGUGCACACACUUUAUAUGCAUCGGCAUUUCUCUUUCACACAUGCUCACAAUCUCUCUCGGAGUGUCGGGGAGUCUCACGCACAUGCUCUCUCUGUAUCUCUCUCUCUCUCUCUCUCUCUCUCUCUCUCUUUCUGACUACCGUGUACCACUCUUUUCACUAAUCUCAGUUGGAAAACACUAUUUCUCUCACAUGCAUAUAUACACACGCACGGUCUCUACUAGCCCUCUAUACGCACAUAUGUGUGCCUACGUGUCUCCCGCACGCAUAUUAUCUUUAGGCCUCUCUCGCACACAUUGCCCCCCCCAGACACACCUCUCUCUUAGUAGUUGGCAGAUAUGAUUCCAUCAUAUCAUUCGGUAGGAUAUCCCUGACUGUUAGGCUGGAUGGUAAUACGAGGCAAAGUUUUACCCUAGUUCGGACCCUUGCAGUUGAGGAAAAAGCCUACUCCUGGUACUGUAUAUUAGUGAUAGGGGUGUGUACAAAGUACACGUGAAUACCAGGCAUUGUGCGUGUGUGUAUACUAUCGACGAACUAGCCCCCAAGCUUCUAUAACAUACUGGGGGCCUAGGGUUACAAAUCAUAUAUAGUCGGCUUAUCACCAGUGGGGAUAGAGUCCUCCGCGACUCUGGUAGCUAGCUUCAUGUUGUACGCCGAGUCCUCCACAUGGGUCUUCGUAUAACGCGUCUCGAUCCAACCUAUGUGGCGCAGGAUGGAACCAACCCAUGAGUCCUCAUGUUGACCCACCACAACUAGAAAUGAUGUGCCCACCCCACCACACACGCAAUCGACCACUAAGAAAACUAGAUAAUACCCCGCGCGUUGCUGCGGGAACUGGUUAUAAUAUAUUUGGUGAGAUUUGAUUUUUUUUUAAUAUGGAAAAUUGAUUGGUAAUAUGAGAAGUAAAACUAAAGAUACAUAUGACUUAUUUUAUUUAAUUAUUGAUAUUAUAUGUGUACAUGUUGAGACAAAUAUAUUAGUGGAAUAAUCUAUUUGGUUAUAUAGGAUAUGAUGGUGCACCGCGCAUUGCUGUGGUAUUCUUAGCUGACAUUAAGGGUCAUAUUUUAAAAAAGAAUUAUAAGACUAAUCUGGCACUAACAAUUCCAAGAACAAAGGUGUGACAUGCAUGGACAGAGUAUAUAUCAUGCUUCAAUUUUAUUGGAUUAUCAAUGCUUGAUUGCCCAGAGGUUAUCUUGGUUAUCUAAGAGUGUCAACCGUUGCACUGAGUGUGUUUGAAGAGAAAAGGGGGGUGUUGAGGAUAGUGUCUCAUCAUAUUUGUAACUUGCAAGUAGAUAUUAGUACAUGACAUUUAUAAAGCUCAAAACUAAAAAAAUACGUGCGCAUGCAUUUUUUUUGUUCCAUUGCAUUGCUUGAUGUCACCGCAUGGCCCUGACAAAAUGCAGCUUAGACACCUUAACUCACAACCUUGGUCAAAAUCAGACAAAUCAGUAUGACAUUGGAAAGCCUGGGUGUGAAAAUUUCGCUAUUCAUAUGUUCAAAAAUAAGCUCCGACAUGUAGCAUCAACCAGUUCAUAGUUGCUGGUAAAGCCCGUUUGAAUUUCAUCUUUUUACAACUAACAUACGAUGUGAGCUAUGAAACAGAACAAUGAGAAGUUAUACAUAGAUAAAUAUUGAGAUCCAAAUUAUCCAUGUAGUUAAAAAAUCACAUGCAAGCACCUAACCAAUAAUCAUAGAAGAUGUAUUAUUUGUACUCACUUCUAGUUAAGCAGCUGAUUUUAUUUUGAAGCUAGGGCAGAUAGCAUAGUAGAAUUGUCUCUACAGAACAUUCAUGAAAAGAACAGACUAAUUCAUGCAAACCAAUAGAAGUAUUUUCAUGUGGCAAUGAUUCUGACCGUCAAGGGAGUAGUCUUGGAUGCCUUUGCUGAACUUAAUUAAUCUUCUUCUUCAUCCAUUCUCCACUCUUUAAUUAACAAACUGUUGGGAGAUCGACAAAUAACAGAUAUGAAGAGAUCGGCCAAUGGAGUGUUUACUGUUGCUAGAAGUACAGAUCCAAACUUUUCUGAACAAAACCCAAUUCACAUAUAUGUAUAAAAUGGAGCAAAACAAAUCAUUCAACACUAAUAUGUGAUGGUUAAUUGGUUACUAAUUCAAGAUCAAGUGCAAUAUAUAUCAAUAGCAUUAUUGACCUUUAGAUGCAAUAAUGAAAAAAGAAUUAGGAAAAGAGUCAUGCCUUACCCAUCGAACAUGCGCACGGAACAAAUUGAUGCGGAUAGGGAGGAGUUCAGUUUGCACACUGCAACAAAAUCUCGCGGGCUUAAGGUGGCGCUAGCGAUGUUGACAAUCAUAAAAGCCAUGAGUAAGGAAAGUAGUUUGGUGCGUACAUGCGAGUAGAUCCCAGUUGCAAAUAGGCCCUCUUCUUCCUCUCCCAUCGCAGACCAUGCUGAACGACUCGCCGUGCUCCAGGCUGGGGGAAAUGGAAGAGGUACCAAGGACUGUACGGCGGGCGGGGGCAAGAUUCUUGGUGGUGCCGCGACGGGGGUGUGUGGACGAUCGUUGGUGGUAUGUCGUGCCGAGCGAAGCCCAUGCGGGAGCCAGUUAUGCACUAUGGGCAUACGACGGUUCGUCCAGGCACGGUGCGAGGGCACAACAUCCAACCCCAUCUUGGCAUCGAGGUUGCUCGCGGCGCCGGAGCUCGAUGCCCACAACGGCAACUGGGAAGAUGUGAUGCCUCGGGAAGUGAGAGACGAUGCGUUGGAAAAUGCCGCCAGUUAUAAAAGGGAUGUGUCAUUCAUUAGGAAUAGGAAACGAUGGAUUUCUUCGGUGACCAAUACUACAACGCAUCAAGUAGUAAAUCCUAAGGAAACCGUGGAUUGGUUCAGUGACCAGGAUGGCUGCGUAGGAAAAAUUGAAUCC
rnacentral:lncRNA from 1 species